rnacentral:lncRNA from 1 species
CAGCAUAUUUACAUGCAAUGUUGUUCAAAGCAUUUAUUUGCUCAAUAAUAUGCUUUGAAUCAACCAUCUUAAAAUUAAUGUAUUUAUUAAUAAGAAAAAAAAUGAUUUUCAGCAUCUUUACUGAUGUAUCUUUGUUGGAGUGCAUUCCAUAACUAUAGAGUGGUACCGUAUCUAUAAAAUAUUUUGAAUAAAUCAUUAGUCAUAGCAUUGAGAA